rnacentral:rRNA from 1 species
CCUACGGGAGGCUGCAGUGGGGAAUAUUGGACAAUGGGGGCAACCCUGAUCCAGCCAUGCCGCGUGUGUGAAGAAGGCCCUCGGGUUGUAAAGCACUUUCAGUGAGGAAGAACGCCUGGUGGUUAAUACCCAUCAGGAAAGACAUCACUCACAGAAGAAGCACCGGCUAACUCCGUGCCAGCAGCCGCGGUAAUACGGAGGGUGCGAGCGUUAAUCGGAAUUACUGGGCGUAAAGCGCGCGUAGGUGGCUUGAUAAGCUGGUUGUGAAAGCCCCGGGCUCAACCUGGGAACGGCAUCCGGAACUGUCAAGCUAGAGUGCAGGAGAGGAAGGUAGAAUUCCCGGUGUAGCGGUGAAAUGCGUAGAGAUCGGGAGGAAUACCAGUGGCGAAGGCGGCCUUCUGGACUGACACUGACACUGAGGUGCGAAAGCGUGGGUAGCAAACAGGAUUAGAUACCCUUGUAGUC